CUGAGCCGAGGCGGUCCCGAGAGGAGAGGAGAGAACCUUUGCUCCCCGCCUUCUCCCUGACCCUCCUCCCUGUGACUUCACUGAACAGGACCCGAAGAGCAGGAGAGACCCGGUUCCUGGCGCCCCCUGGUAACAAGGAUCUCCAGAUUGUGAGCACUCUCUUUACAAUACUCUAUAGCCUCAUAUCAAAGAUGUUAUUGACUAAGAAUACCAAGUCUUCCUUAUGAGAAGUACUUCUGUGAGGGGAAGAAGAUGGGAAAAAAAGUCCAUCCAACAGCAAAAUUAAUAUAUGGGAAAAUGUGUUUAAGUUUCCACAUUUAAUAAAACUGUCCACAAUGCAGAUGAUUUAAAGGUAACUACAAGCAAGUUAAUAUAAUACUAUGAAGCACAGUUACUUAGGACCAAUACUUUGUAUUGACUUACUAAUGUGUGCAUGGCUAUAAUUUGGAAAUGACAUAGACAUUUUACACACACAUAAAAUGAAGAAGAAGCUUCUGUGUAUAUGAAAAUGACUUUAGAAGGUGCACUGUACUUUUCUUCUCUCUGAUUGCUUUAUUCUCUUUGUUGGUUGUUGAAGGGGAAAGGUAAAUGGAACCAGGUGAGAAAUUACAGGCAACAUGAAGGAACAAGACAGAUCAAGGCCAAAGUAAAAGAAUCUUGGUCUACAGACAUCUCAUUGAAAUAUGAAAUGUUUUCUAUAAGCAGUAUAAAAUCAGAAGUUAUAUUUCAGAAUAAUUACACAAAGGUUCCAUGAUGAUUUUUUAUAAUUUUGUGUGUAUAA